AUUUAUUUAAGCUAAUAAACAAGGGUUCAGAAAAUUUGUUGCAGUAACACUUUAGUUAGAAAAUAUCAAAAUGUUAAACACCAAAAUUAUCCUGGCAUGGGGGAUUAAGUUUUCAUGGGGGAAAAGAAGCCAAAUUCUUCUUGCAUUCCUGCAGAGAUGUAUUCAGGGAUGGAUGUACUGGGGGGCACCCCCCUUGCCCUGGCCAGAGGGGGUGCAGGGGGGGGGUGCUAUUUUUCAUGAUAAAGC